UACGUAGGUGGCAAGCGUUGUCCGGAUUUACUGGGUGUAAAGGGCGUGCAGCUGGAGAGACAAGUCAGAUGUGAAAUCCACGGGCUCAACCCGUGAACUGCAUUUGAAACUGUUUCCCUUGAGUAUCGGAGAGGUAAUCGGAAUUCCUUGUGUAGCGGUGAAAUGCGUAGAUAUAAGGAAGAACACCAGUGGCGAAGGCGGAUUACUGGACGAUAACUGACGGUGAGGCGCGAAAGCGUGGGGAGCAAACAGG
rnacentral:rRNA from 1 species